GACGAACGCUGGCGGCGUGCUUAACACAUGCAAGUCGAGCGACUGCAUUCUUUUCGGAGGGUGUAUGGAGCGGCGAACGGGUGAGUAACACGUGAGUAAUCUGCCUUUGGCUUGGGAAUAACUUCGGGAAAUCGGGGCUAAUGCCUGAUGUUUACUGUCUGCUGCAUGGUGGGUGGUGGAAAGAUUUUUUGGCCGAGGAGUNAGCUCGCGGUCUAUCAGCUUGNGGGUUGGGGGUGGA
rnacentral:rRNA from 1 species